rnacentral:rRNA from 1 species
UACAGAGGUCCCGAGCGUUGUUCGGAUUCAUUGGGCGUAAAGGGUGCGUAGGCGGUCUGCUAAGUUUGAUGUGAAAUCCCGGGGCUCAACCCUGGAAUGGCAUUGAAUACUGGCGGACUAGAGUACCGGAGAGGAAACUGGAAUUUACGGUGUAGCAGUGAAAUGCGUAGAGAUCGUAAGGAAGACCAGUGGCGAAGGCGAGUUUCUGGACAGUUCCUGACACUGAGGCACGAAGGCCAGGGGAGCAAACGGG